UUGGGAAUGGCAGCUGCGGGGAGACUUGUGUGGAUCAGGUAAGGAAGGACACUUCCAGAAUCUUAGUGCGUGGCCAUGUCGUUCCGAGGUACAAUGAGUGUCCGAACUCGAGUCCGACUCAGCAUCGAGGAGGCGAACUCUCUCGAGUCAUGACGAGAUGUGAUCCGCAGAGAGACAGAGAGGGGAUGGAAAUCAAGGGAAGCAAGAAGAAGAGGCCAUGAGCUUGGGAGGAGAGAUACUAAUGGCGGUGGUCGGGCUCUGGGCGGUCUACUUGCGGCCGCGGAUGAUGAGAUACGCCGGCGAGAUGUUCGAAGUCGUGGGUUACGCGGUGAGCAGAAUCAUCAGCGGCAGGGCUUCUUUUGUUUUCUCCUCUUCUUAGCCUUCCUUGUAUGUUCUCCUUCUAGUUUGUGGCAAUGUUAGUUAAGUUCAGUUCACCCCACACCAGCUUGCUAAAAUCAUAAACAUUGCUAGUCUCGGAUCGUAAAUGUCACGGGUCCGAAUUCUCCUCAAGGCUGAGGUGCUCCGACUCGCCGGCAGCCGCACGGGCAAUGUCCUUGCCAGAAGAGUCUCGGCAUCGGCAACAAUUUCCAGUUAGGUAGUUUCCAAAUUGAGGGAAGAGAGAUGGGCGCCAUUCGUCCUGCAAUAAUUGUUGCUGAUGCUUCGUGAGUCCGUUUGAGCAUAUGACAACGCUCUCAUUUAGUUCUUCGUUUGCUGCAAUAUUCGUGAUUCGAACGUGUGAGCGGAUGAAUUGUCCGCACUCGGUACCGUCCUUUCGAUGCUCUUCCCAUCACUCAGAUGCAUCAGCAAUCCUGUUUGGCAUGUUAAGGUUCUUCCUAGUCGUGUUGGGGACUCUUGUGGCUGUGGAGAAUGGUGAGAAAGACUUUCCUUUUUCAGCAAGCAAAUUUCAAUUUUGGUC